rnacentral:rRNA from 1 species
UACGUAGGGUGCAAGCGUUAAUCGGAAUUACUGGGCGUAAAGCGUGCGCAGGCGGUUUUGUAAGUCUGUCGUGAAAUCCCUGGGCUUAACCUGGGAAUGGCGAUGGAGACUGCAAGGCUAGAAUCUGGCAGAGGGGGGUAGAAUUCCACGUGUAGCAGUGAAAUGCGUAGAGAUGUGGAGGAACACCGAUGGCGAAGGCAGCCCCCUGGGCUAAGAUUGACGCUCAUGCACGAAAGCGUGGGGAGCAAACAGG